CACGUAGGGGGCAAGCGUUGUCCGGAUUUAUUGGGCGUAAAGAGCUCGUAGGCGGCUCAGUAAGUCGGGUGUGAAACCUCCAGGCUCAACCUGGAGACGCCACCUGAUACUGCUGUGGCUAGAGUCCGGUAGGGGAGCGUGGAAUUCCUGGUGUAGCGGUGAAAUGCGCAGAUAUCAGGAGGAACACCAGCGGCGAAGGCGGCGCUCUGGGCCGGAACUGACGCUGAGGAGCGAAAGCGUGGGUAGCAAGCAGG
rnacentral:rRNA from 1 species